GGGAAGAAGGAUCUCCUGUGGCGUUCUGUGCUGCAUCUUGGUGGAACCGGUGGAACUGUUGCUCCUCAGUUUGGCCAGUGUGUCGUGGAGGGGGUGAGCUGUAUUGUCCCGGAUGCUUCACAUUUGAAGAGCACACUCCAAGACCACCUCUAAGACAUAUCGAAAACUGUCCACAGAAAUCUUUGAAGUACAUGUGCACAGUUCCCUUAAUGUAAGUGAGCAGAUGCAGAAGGCUAAGGAAACAUAUAAUACAACUCUAUCAUUGUUGAAACAUAAAGUUUGGAGUUUAUGACAUAAAUAUGUGAAACAUGUGAAACACUUGUUAGGUUGUUUCACAUAGAGUUCUGGAUACACAGUACAGAAGUACUGGUACCAAAAGCUUAAUUAUGAGGCUAAUGUAGCUGUUGGAUGUGUACGGGGCACACGUGAUUGUCACUGAUGUUAAAGGCCUCAUCAAUAGUCUGAGGCUGACGUAGUUCCAAAUUAACCACUGGUGAGAGAGAGAGAGAGAGAGAGAGAGAGUGAGAUAAUGAGAGAGUGAGAGAGUGAGAGAGAGAGAGAGUGAGAGAGAGAGAGUGUUUCUCUGAGGGAGACAGAAUAGCUCUCCAUCUUGUGCUUUUUAUUCACCGUAAUUUCUCUUCACCUUUUCACUACCCAACGCAAUCCACCAAACAGGAGAUCUAAUCGUUCAAGAAGGAACUGCAGAUGCUGGAAGAUCGAAGGUACACAAACUUGCUGGAGAAACUCAGCGGGUGCAGCAGCAUCUAUGGAGCGAAGGAAAUAGGCGACGUUUCGGCCGAAACCCUUCUUCAGACUAGGAGAUCUAAUCACUUGCUUCCCCUCAUACCUGAGUUGGGAGUUAGUUUAACAAAGGGAUUAGCUGGUUUCCUGCUCUCCCACAACCCCAAGCUUCUCUAGUGCACACAUCUGGCUUUUGUAUCACACAAAGUGUGGGUUGGAGUCCAACAACUGUAGGUUAUUUGCAGAAUUUACCGUUCUAGUAAUCGCUUAGACUCAAAUCCUUGCGAGUUUAUCCAAUUUUACUCAUUUCAUUUUGUAAAUUUUGGUUGUGAAUAUCUGCGCAGAAGUGAAAAUCAGAACAUUGUUGAAAUGGAGAAAGAUUAAUGAAAAGUAGUGCACAGAGGGAUCUGGUGGCUUUCCAUGUGAAACACAGAGAUUUUCCAAAGUAUCUGCUUCUGAUCGAUAUCCAGAGGAUCAAUAUCCACACAAGUGGAUCUGGCUGUGAUUCUUUUGCUGGUCACAAAGCUGCUGACAUCCCAGUUCAAGACUGCAGGGCACCAUUCCUCAAGGACUGAAGCGGGUUUUGACCAGUUUCCUUGCCAUUACCACAGUGACAGCUUUCACUCCUGGGCCCUGACAGAGUUCUGCACAAUUCAUUGUGGGCCCUGAGAGGCGGGGGAGAGAAAGCGAUCUCUACAGCUGUCCACAAACACUCAUUAGGAGAGGCAAAUAUCCAACCAAAUCUCUGUGAGAAUUGUUAAUCAUGCAAGGACUCUGCUAAUUAGGUAGCUGAUGGGGCAUGAGAGCACAAGGACAAAUUCUUUCAACAAAAGGGCUGGAAAGUUUCGGAGCUCUAAUUGCUGAGGCAGAAGUUUCAUGCUGCAACUUGGGAGGGAAUAUUCUGCCGAGAAAACUCAGUGACACUCACAAUGAAUAAAAGAGGUUCAAGUGUGUUACGUUCGCCAAGCCAGGCCUGUCAUCACCUGAGCAGCUACUGCAGAAACAUCCCAAACUUCAGACUCAGCUUUUCAUCUAUUAACUUAAUUAGGUCCAACUUAAACUUACCUCAUUGCAAUAGAUUAUUUCUGAACUUGUUCAUCUUUUUCAUUUAACUCUUUGAGUAUUAAAGGGACUUUAUAUUCCAAUUCCCUGUGUGCUGUUCCUUAUCGACAGAUUCUCUGCACGUUUCCCAGAAAUUCUUGUAAGCAGCCAGGAGUGUGAACACAUUUAAGAUCCUGUCCCACGAGCAUGCGACUUGCAUGCGGCGAGUGCGACCAAACCAGAAGCGGGGGCCGUGCGGAGGACGAGUGAGUGACGUGAAGUUCAA